ACCAAUUUGGCAGAUAAAUGCAUUAGAUUUAGGAUCUAACUAUAAGAGAUUCUUAAUUGGUA
rnacentral:tRNA from 1 species